UUUCGAUGGACCACAGUAACGCGAUUAUGAAAGCCCUGCUUUUCCUCGCGGUUAUUUAUCCGGCAUUAGCAGGCACGUUACCUUUUUGGGAAGCAUACCGGAAGGACCCCAGAGAGGCAGGCCUUUCUUCCUCAUUCCGGGAGGUCUCCCAGGUGGGAAGUUCCUGGCCCACCUUGUGCUGGGUGGGCUCCGGGCAAUGCCAUGCCUUGUCUGUGUGUGUUCACGGCAGCCUGGAGUGAACUAUCCUGGAAGGGAAAGCAUCAGGAACCACGCCCCCAGGGAAGGGUUGUCUUUGAGGAAUGCUCCCUCCACACCCUUCACUUGGAGCAUGCCUCCUUUGUUGGUCAUUGUCGCUACAAAAUUACACUCUAUAUUACAUCUGCAUUGCAGUUAGUUCAAGAACAGAUUUCCGAGAUUGCAGUGGUGUUAUUCGGGUGGAUGGUAAGUGUAUAAAGAGCAUUACAGCUAAUGAGCCACUACUGGACUACUGGAAAAGGACUCAGAUUCACCAGAGAAUUCAGGAGAUCUUCAAAGACAUUGAGGCUACUGGAAUGGGACGCUUUAUUCAGACUGAAGGCUUUAAUCCUGUUUCAGGAAACCCCACUGCACGUUUUACAGCCUCUGGCGAUGAAUCAUCGAUCACCAGCUCCCGUGAUUGCAGAAUUGAAAUAAGACCGUCACCAUCUGAGUAUGACAUCCAACUUCUCCCACGAAUGUUACAUGGUGUUUGCACGAGUUUGCACUGAUGGUGAUGGAGCCGAGCAGAUCUGCAUGAGAGACAAGGAAGCAUUAAACAUGUACGAGCUCUUUCAUGUUCGGAACCUCCUUCACCACAAUGCCUACCAGCACAGGGUUGUAAAGGCAGUUGAACUCAUGAUUUUAGAUGUACUCACAGCAUCUGAUGAGAUCUUUGAGUUUUCUGCUGCAGUAAAGGACCCCAAAGCUUACCUGAAUCUCACAGAUUGUGUUCUUCGGGAAAUCCUGAACUCAAUAAACAAAGGCAUUGUACAAGCACAGAAAAUUAUAAAGAGAAUUUUUGAGAGCAAACUCUACAGGUUUAUUGAAGGGAAAACAUUUCAGACUCAAGUCACAUGGUCACUUGGACAUGGUUGAACUUCUGAAAACCUGGUUGGACAAAAUCCAGGGACAACCUGGUGGCUCGCAGCUCUCUGCAGAUGACUUUGCAGUGAAGGAAACCACCCAGCCAGUUCCUGGCUCCAUUGUGAGAGAUGCCGCCUGGCCAUUUCCCGCCUCUAGCGCGAGAGACGCCGCCCGUCCUGACCCAGUUCCACUCCCCGGCACGAGAGACGCCAGCCGUCCUGAGCCUGUUCCCAGUUCCCAGCAUACUGGAUGCCGCCAGUUCUGUUCCUGUUUCCGGCAUAAUGGAUGUGCCACUUCUGUUUCGUGUGUCACUCCAUUCCUGUAGUGGUGCAGCCCCGCCUCUGGACCCCCCAGACCCGCCGCCGCUGAAUGCCACGUCACCGGACCUGCCAGUUCCUGUUUCUGGAGUGGAAGAAGCCACUCCACAAGUCCCCGUCCCUCGUACCAGGCCAUUCCCUGUGGUUUCUCCUCGAGACUCCACUGUGCCCCUAAAUGCUAAUACCAUGUGCCUCCUAAGACGCUUAGGACUCCUUCGGCAACACCUCGCAGCAAGCCAGUGACUCUUAAGCCCUCUCUGUCGGCCUCACGGACCCCUACGACUCCUAUUUCUACACCUUAUAUAUCUCCUCUGCUCCUUCAGACUGCAGCGCCAGACCCCAUUACUGCCCCCUUGUCUGCUUCUGUGUCUUCAGUUCCUGUGUUGCCUACUCCUGUUCCUGGUUUUGUCCUUGUCCCUGUUCAUGUGUCUAUUCCCAUUUGUGUGAAGAUUGUCCGUCCUGUUACUCUGCCUUGUGGUAUUGUUGUUGCCGUACCUGUACCCGUUCCCGUCCCAGUACCUGUACCAUGCCUGCCGUGUAUUUUGUUCCUGUGUCCAUCUCUGUCAUAGUUCACAUCAUGUCCUCUGUUUUUACCUCUUCCCCCGUGCGUGACACCAGUUUUUCUCCUCUCCUCUCUCUGCUUGUCUCUGUGCUCAUCUCGAAUUCCGACCGGGUCUCCAGUGACUCCUUUUCCCCAUCAGGCUCCUGUCCUUUGGUCUGUCCCUACUGCACUGCCUGUCCACGGUUUAACCCUGAGACCGACACAUAUCCCUGGUCCUGUCGCAUUCCAUGUCCGCAGUCCUGCCCUGUCUCCUAUGCCUGUUUGUAAUCCUACCCCUGGCCCGGCUUCUACUUCUCUGUUUACUCCCUGUGUCCCCUCAGCUGUUUCCUGUCCUGCCUCGUCAUCCCUAGCUCCUCCUUUUAUUCCGGUCCCUGCAUCGUGUAGCCCUUUUGUUCCAACUCCCUGUCUUGCCUGAACUCCCACCCCUGUUCCACCCUCUGGUAUUAUGCUUGUUUUUGUUCUUGUUCCUGUUCCUGUGUCCGUUCUGGUACCCUUGUCUGUUUUUGUUCCUGUCCCUU